rnacentral:rRNA from 1 species
UACGAGGGGUGCAAGCGUUGCUCGGAAUUAUUGGGCGUAAAGGGUAGGUAGGUGGUCUCAUUUGUCUGGGGUGAAAGCCUCGAGCUUAACUCGAGAAGUGCCCCAGAAACGGUGAGACUAGAGUCUUGGAGAGGGUCGUGGAAUUCCCGGUGUAGCGGUGAAAUGCGUAGAGAUCGGGAGGAACACCAGAGGCGAAGGCGGCGAUCUGGGAAGAUACUGACGCUGAGGUGCGAAAGCGUGGGGAGCAAACAGG